AUGCAAGCAUGACGACUUGGAUUCUGACUCUAGCAUCUUUGCGAGAACAGGUCACGGGGGAGUGUGCCUAUAAUCCUGGUGCUGGAAAGGUACACACAGCUGGGUCCCUGGGAGUUGCUGGCCAGGCUAGACCAAGGGGCAAGUUCCAGGCUCAGUGAGGAAAUCCUGUCUUAAAACUUAGGCGUAGAGUGAUUGAGGAAGACACCUGACAUCAAUCUCUGACUUCCACAUGCACUGAACACAGGCAUACAUACACAUGGCUAACACACACACAUGCACACAUGCAUGCACAUGUGCAUGCACACACAAACACACAGGGGGGUCGUCUACACUGUUAUGCUAAUAAGUGUCAAACAACAGGUAAAGCUCCCACUUUCUCUUGCUGUUAGCUGCAGGCAGAAGGCAGCCUUUGCUGUUUUAUGGUCAGCCCUCAGAGUAAGUUUUUCUCUCAGGACAAACACUUGAUACUUUUGCAAUUCCGUUUUUUAUAAUUGCAUUGAUUCCUGUCCUCUUAAGCAGUUUCGUUCUUAGCAAAUCCUUGCCACGUGCGAUUAUAUUUGAGGGAUUUUCCAAUCCCAACUCUACUUAUUAUAAAAAUAAUACAUGCUCAAUUAUUUGAGGUUAUGUUUAGAGAAUGAAACUAACCAGAGCAAAUAGAGUCUGACUCUGGCGGAACACUUGCAGAGCAGGUGGGAUCACUCUGGCUUGUUACUGCAUUUUUGAGCAUGGUCACAGAGUGACAGCAGCUUUAUAUAAUUAGGCUUUGAAACCUGUUCCCAGAGACAGACUGUAUAACACUUUUUGAGCAGUUUUAGCAUCUCUUGAAUCAAGUUAUGGCUUCCCAUAGUAACGUCUUGAAAGACAACGUGCUUUAACAUACAUCAAUAUCGCUGUCAAGAUGGCUUCUUUCCCUUUCUUCAUGAUUGUUCUAGAGUUUGCUUCUUUGUUCAUGACAGGUGUAAUUACCCAAGCCUGGCAUGAGAAUAAUAAAGAUGAAAUAUUCUGCAUUUUUUUCUUCUUCUAACUGUUCUGUGUAUAUAGGAUACAUACUUUUGCACAGAUGUGGAGAUGUGUGUGCCUAUGGAGCCCCUGGGUUGGUAUUAAGACUCAUCCUUGGUUGCCCUCCCAUUCCAUUCACAGAGCAGGGUCUCACGAUCAGACCCAGAGCUGCCUCACUCUCCAGCGUGAUCUGGGGGAGCCCCUGUCUCCAUUUUCCUACCCUGGAUUGAUAGGCCGGCUGUCAAAUCCACUCAGCAUGACGUGGGCUUCCAAAGAUCUAACUAAACACGGUUCUCACACGUGCACAGCAAACAUUUAAUAGAUUAAUCAUCUUCUGAGUCCUCUAUUUGAUUUUAAAGUAGUAACUUCUGUUGCAUGGUAACUGAAAACAUGCUCAGUUGUUAAAGUGUUUUCAAUGGCCAAUUGUAUGUGAACCAAGUAAAAAAUAUACUUUGAAUUGUAUAGGGGCUUAGGUUGUGGGAGGUGGUACCAAAGGCUUUUUCACGCCAUGGUUAACAAAUGUAACCAUGUAGUUCAAGUUCCAUGUAGUUCAAAUGGAUGAUUCUCUAUUAAUUAGAUGAGCUUUAACCACUCAGCUCAUUUCCAGCCAGAUCGUGUUAUAUUGAGCAGGCAUGAGAAAGGAGAUGCUUUAGCUAAUCUGCAGGAAGAUCCUUUUAGUCUACAGGGUUCCCAUUGUUUCAAUGGCUGGUGUUUGUUAGUGUCUCUCCAGGAAAAGUCACAGGACAUAGAUGUGGCCUUCACCACAACAAAGAGAGAAAUGAACAAGCACUGUGAUGGCCUGAAUGAAAAUGGCUCCCAUUGGUUCAGAUACUGAAUGCUUAGUUAUUGGGGAGUGGCACUAUUUGAGAAGGAUUAGGAGGUGUGGUCUUGUUACAGGUGCGUGCUCUCUCUCUUUCUCCUUUCUCUUUCCUCUCCUCUUCUCUCCUCUCCCCUCCCUCCCCUCCCUUCCUCUCCGCUCUGCCUGUGGAUCAGGAUGAAGCUCUCAGCUCCAUCUCCAGCACCAUGCCUGCCAUACCCGCUGCCUUGUUCCUUGAUAACAAUGGCCUAAGCCUCUGCAACUGUAAGCUAGCCCCAGUUAAAUGCUCUCCUUUAUGAGAGUCCAUGGUCAUGGUGUCUCUUCCCAACAGCGGAACACUCACUAAGACAGGCACCAGCAUCAAAGGACUAAGACAGCAAAGAGACAACGUGCUCCUACCCCUGGCUUGAUGACCACUGUGACCAGCCUCCGUUCCUGGCUUCACUUCCUGGCGAGCUCAAGAAGCAAACAUCUCCCUGCUGUGUCCUUAUAGGUUUUUGUCACCUGGUCAUGUCUACACUCAACUCAUGUCUGUUCUCCUGCCAGCUGCCUCCAGCCUGACAUACCCACCAUCUCCAGGUCUUCCAUGAAAAGGGGUUGUCUUCUCUGCAUCCUGAACUGUUCCUUGGGAUCCCCAUCUUUGGGGCACCUCUCCUAGUCCUCAGCUGCCCCUUGAGCACAGGGCUGGCAGGCAGUUAGGGCUGUCCACAAACCACUGAGGGCUGAUGGAGGGGGAGAACCGCCGAUGUAGGAAGGGAGACAGAGUGAAUAGACAGAAUCACAGCCAGGUCAGAGAGCGUUUAAAGCUGAGUCAGGAAAUGUCUGUUCUGAGGAUCCAUGGAAAUGAUCAAAACCUCAACAUUUCCCCAAGCUGUCUUGUGCAGAAUAGCUUACCUCAGCAGUGUGGGUCUCUAGGCCUCUUUGGGAAGCACACACAUGGAUUGUUGUCAUUAACAACUGCCACCUUGGGCUGGAGAGAUGGCUUAGUGGUUAAGAGCGCUGACUACUCUUCCAGAGGUCCUGAGUUCAAUUCCCAGCAACCACAUGAUGGCUCACAACCAUCUGUAAUGGGGUCUGAUGCCCAAUUCUGGUGUGUCUGAAGAUAGCUACAGUGUACUCACAUACAUAAAAUAAAUUAAAAAAAAAAAACGACACCC
rnacentral:lncRNA from 1 species